ACGUGCUACAAUGGCGGAAACANAGGGAUGCGAGCCGGUGACGGCAAGCGAACCCCAAAAACAACCGUCCCAGUUCGGACUGUAGUCUGCAACCCGACUACACGAAGCCGGAAUCGCUAGUAAUCGCGGAUCAGAAUGCCGCGGUGAAUACGUUCCCGGGUCUUGUACACACCGCCCGUCAAGCCAUGGGAGCCGGGGGUACCUGAAGUGCGUAACCGCGAGGAGCGCCCUAGGGUAAAACUGGUGACUGGGGCUAAGUCGUAACAAGGUAGC
rnacentral:rRNA from 1 species